UGGCGGCGUGCUUAACACAUGCAAGUCGAGCGGAAAGGCCACUUCGGUGGUACUCGAGCGGCGAACGGGUGAGUAACACGUGAGUAAUCUGCCCUUCACUUGGGGAUAACCUCCGGAAACGGUGGCUAAUACCCGAUACGACCAUUCCAGGCAUCUGGUGGUGGUGGAAAGUUUUUUCGGUGGGGGAUGUGCUCGCGGCCUAUCAGCUUGUUGGUGGGGUAAUGGCCUACCAAGGCUUCGACGGGUAGCCGGCCUGAGAGGGUGACCGGCCACACUGGGACUGAGACACGGCCCAGACUCCUACGGGAGGCAGCAGUGGGGAAUAUUGGACAAUGGGCGGAAGCCUGAUCCAGCAACGCCGCGUGAGGGAUGACGGCCUUCGGGUUGUAAACCUCUUUCACCGAUGACGAAGCGCAAGUGACGGUAGUCGGAGAAGAAGCACCGGCCAACUACGUGCCAGCAGCCGCGGUAAUACGUAGGGUGCGAGCGUUGUCCGGAAUUAUUGGGCGUAAAGGGCUCGUAGGCGGUUUGUCGCGUCGGGAGUGAAAACACGGGGCUUAACUCCGUGCUUGCUUUCGAUACGGGCAGACUAGAGGUAUGCAGGGGAGAACGGAAUUCCUGGUGUAGCGGUGAAAUGCGCAGAUAUCAGG
rnacentral:rRNA from 1 species